CGACCGGCGCACGGGUGAGUAACACGUAUGCGACCUGCCCGUAGCAGGGGAUAAGCGGAAGAAAUUCCGUCUAAUACCGCGUAAUAUCUUUCGGGGGCAUCCCUGAGGGAUUAAAGGAAGCGAUUCCGGCUACGGAUGGGCAUGCGGCGCAUUAGCUAGUCGGCGGGGUAACGGCCCACCGAGGCGACGAUGCGUAGGGGUUCUGAGAGGAAGGUCCCCCACACUGGUACUGAGACACGGACCAGACUCCUACGGAAGGCAGCAG
rnacentral:rRNA from 1 species